rnacentral:lncRNA from 1 species
AUAACUCCUAUAUAACUUAGGAUAAGUUUUCUAUUUAAGUUUCCGAUAAGGAUGAUAAUUAGGUUUCCCUAUUUACGUUAGGCUUUAAACUUUAUGUUCUUGAGUAUAUAUACUCAUCCAUUUCAUCAAUAAAACAUAAGAUCUUUAUUUCAAACCUACUAUUUGUCAGACUUCUCUGAUUUUCAUGUAACUUUGACUAGAUUCAAA